GACCCAACCCUCAACCCUAGCCGCUCCUCUCUUCUUCCUCUCUUCUCUCACGCUCAGCUUCUUCUUCAACCUCUCUCACUCACCUUCUUCCUCAAGCUCUCACUCACCUUCUUCUUUCCCCCUUCCUCUUUCAGGACCUGCAGCGUCUCCUUUUCCCCUUCCUCUCACCCACCACCGCAACAAACACCCACCACCGCCAACAAACAACCUCAACCGCCAACAAACACCCACCACCGGCCACGAUGCAGCAUCCACCGCCACCAAAACCCACCUCACACCCAUCGAAACCCACCUCACCACCACCAAACACCCACCACCGCAGCUAAAACCUACCCCAGCCGCCACCAAAGCUUCAAUCAAGACCCAGAUCGCCCCUCAAGCUUCUGGAUCAGACAUGCAAGGUGCUUGAUCGGUGGUCCAAGAGAGAAAUUUUUGCUGCUCACUUUGCUCCCUCUUCCUUAUUUUUUUUUUUUUCAUGUAAUGUAAUCAGGAUCUUGAGGGUAAAGUUUUAAUUUUUAUUGUAAAGUAAUAAUUUUUAUUUUAAAGUUUGAAUUUUGUUGUAAUCAAAUUGUUGUUUUGGAGUUCUGUUGUUCAUCUUCUUCCAAGUUCCUUCAAUCUGUUUUUUUCCCUCUGAAAUCUGGAGCAUUCGGUUGAAGAAAGUGAGAAAAUAAUAAUUUUUAAUGCUAAGAAACCAAAAAGCAUAGUUGCUUGCAGAAGCAACCAUGCACUGUAGCUAAGAAACUGAACCUGCCAACUGAGCAAGCUCUAAUGCUGAAAAAAAUAAGAAACCGUAUCUUAGCAACUCCAGCUUGGUUAAGAAACCAGCGUUGGAGUUGCUCUCAAUUCCUUCAACCUUGCAUCAGAUACUUCCCCUGUUAGCACACUGAUAAGUCACUUUAUCACUGUAAAGUGAAUAUCACAUCAUGAUUCUAGUGUGUCAGAAAAACAUAACCGAUCAUCAAGAUAACCUGAGUGGUUGGAUGAAGUGAGCCAAAUAGACUCAUCCAACGGUUGGAUCACAAGGUUAGAAAAAGGUAGCCAACACCCUCUGGGGGAGUUACACAAUGUCAGUCAAAUAGCACACAUCAAAAUUGUGCAACCCAAGAUUUUGAAAAUUUGAACAACAGAAAAGAAGUGAUGGCAGAGUAGCAUGAACAAGAGGGAGGGACAAUUUUACUUUAGGUCCAUACCCU
rnacentral:lncRNA from 1 species